rnacentral:rRNA from 1 species
GUAGGGUGCAGGCGUUAAUCGGAAUUACUGGGCGUAAAGCGUGCGCAGGCGGUUUGCUAAGACAGGUGUGAAAUCCCCGGGCUUAACCUGGGAACUGCGCUUGUAACUGGCAAGCUAGAGUGUGGCAGAGGGGGGUGGAAUUCCACGUGUAGCAGUGAAAUGCGUAGAGAUGUGGAGGAACACCGAUGGCGAAGGCAGCCCCCUGGGCUAACACUGACGCUCAUGCACGAAAGCGUGGGGAGCAAACAGGAUUAGAUACCCUGGUAGUCCACGCCCUAAACUAUGUCGACUGGUUGUCGGGGAAGCAAUUCCUUGGUAACGAAGCUAACGCGUGAAGUUGACCGCCUGGGGAGUACGGCCGCAAGGUUA